CAAGGAAGAAGCAACAACCCCGCUAUUAGCGCCCAAAGCUAAUGUUCUAUUUAAACUAUUCCCUG
rnacentral:tRNA from 1 species